UACGUAGGGGGCAAGCGUUGUCCGGAAUCAUUGGGCGUAAAGAGCGUGUAGGCGGCUCGGUAAGUCUGCUGUGAAAGUCCAGGGCUCAACCCUGGGAUGCCGGUGGAUACUGUCGAGCUAGAGUCCGGAAGAGGAGAGUGGAAUUCCUGGUGUAGCGGUGAAAUGCGCAGAUAUCAGGAAGAACACCCGUGGCUAAGGCGGCUCUCUAGUACGGUACCGACGCUGAGACGCGAAAGCGUGGGGAGCGAACAGG
rnacentral:rRNA from 1 species